UGAUGAUGGUAAUUCUGUCUCUAGCUCU
rnacentral:sRNA from 1 species